GUGAAUCAUCGAAUCUUUGAACGCAAAUUGCACUCUCGGGUAUGCCCGGGAGUACGCUUCUUUCAGUAUCGGUUCUAUCUAAACUCGUCUGCGUUUUUACGAACAAUGACGGAAAUUGAGUGUCUCACUUUUCUCGAGUGAGUUGCUUGAAAGGUAGAAGCGGUAGUUCCCUUCUUUUUCUCUCGAGAAAAAACUCAUUGAUUCUUCUCACUCUUCGGAGCGGGCUGAAGCAAUCUGAGUGACGUGGUUAAGCUCGCCUUGUGCGACACACGCUGCGUCAUCCAUCUCAGGAUGCUACGG
rnacentral:misc_RNA from 1 species